rnacentral:rRNA from 1 species
GUGCCAGCAGCCGCGGUAAUACGUAGGUGGCAAGCGUUAUCCGGAAUUAUUGGGCGUAAAGCGCGCGUAGGCGGUUUUUUAAGUCUGAUGUGAAAGCCCACGGCUCAACCGUGGAGGGUCAUUGGAAACUGGAAAACUUGAGUGCAGAAGAGGAAAGUGGAAUUCCACGUGUAGCGGUGAAAUGCGCAGAGAUAUGGAGGAACACCAGUGGCGAAGGCGACUUUCUGGUUCUGUAACUGACGCUGAUGUGCGAAAGCGUGGGGAUCAAACA